UAUGUACCCAGGUUGCUAGAAAUGAAAUCUAAGGUGGAUUAGCUUUAAAUUCUGGAGCAGUAAUGGAGUCGUUCCUAUGUAGAGAAGCUUCCCAGUGAUUAAAAAUUAAUGUGUAAAUGUAGGAAAUUCGAAAAGAAGCUAAGAACAAAUAGGGAUUGUGUAGCUACUGCCCUGGUACAAGAUCUGGGCGCCCGAAUUGUGAGGAAAACGUGGUGGAGCUUCCAUAACAUUUCGAAUAGAGAGAGAGGCCUAGUGGAACCUAAAUUCAGGGAAAUUGAAGUGCAAAAUUUCAACAUACACCCCUGGCUGUUGGAGCUGAUAUAGAGCCUGGUAGAACUUCGAAUCCAGGAACGUGUAACGUGCUCGGAAGUUCGAAGUCACGUUCCGACAGAUCUACGGCGCACUAAUUACGGUAGGAGCCGUUCUGGCUCUAUUUGCUCCGAGUUGCGAGAGCUCGUUGUCGAUACAGUUCGAGACGUUGAUUCCAGUUUGUUGGCAUC